rnacentral:rRNA from 1 species
UACGGGGGGGGCAAGCGUUGUUCGGAAUUACUGGGCGUAAAGGGCUCGUAGGUGGCCAACUAAGUCAGACGUGAAAUCCCUCGGCUUAACCGGGGAACUGCGUCUGAUACUGGACGGCUUGAGUUCGGGAGAGGGAUGCGGAAUUCCAGGUGUAGCGGUGAAAUGCGUAGAUAUCUGGAGGAACACCGGUGGCGAAGGCGGCAUCCUGGACCGACACUGACACUGAGGAGCGAAGGCCAGGGGAGCAAACGGG